rnacentral:rRNA from 1 species
GACGAACGCUGGCGGCGUGCCUAAUACAUGCAAGUCGAGCGAGACUCUUCGGAGUCUAGCGGCGGUCGGGUGAGUAACACGUGGGCAACCUGCCUGUAAGACUGGGAUAACACCGGGAAACCGGUGCUAAUACCGGAUAAUCCUUUUCCUCUCAUGAGGGAAAGCUGAAAGUCGGUUUCGGCUGACACUUACAGAUGGGCCCGGGGCGCAUUAGCUAGUUGGUGAGGUAACGGCUCACCAAGGCGACGAUGCGUAGCCGACCUGAGAGGGUGAGCGGCCACACUGGGAGUGAGAAACGGCCCAGACUCCUACGGGAGGUAGCAGUAGGGAAUCUUCCACAAUGGACGAAAGUCGGAUGGAGCAACGCCGCGGGAGCGAUGAAGGCCUGCGGGUCGUAAAGCUCUGUUGUUCAGGAAGAACAAGUACCGGAGUAACUGCCGGUACCUUGACGAUACCUAACCAGAAAGCCACGGCUAACUACGUGCCAGCAGCCGCCGUAACAC